CGGACGGGUGAGUAGCGCGUGGGUAACCUGCCUCACACUGGGGGAUAACAGUUAGAAAUAGCUGCUAAUACCGCAUAAGCGCACGGUUCCGCAUGGAACAGUGUGAAAAACUCCGGUGGUGUGAGAUGGACCCGCGUCUGAUUAGCCAGUUGGCGGGGUAACGGCCCACCAAAGCGACGAUCAGUAGCCGGCCUGAGAGGGUGAACGGCCACAUUGGGACUGAGACACGGCCCAAACUCCUACGGGAGGCAGCAUG
rnacentral:rRNA from 1 species